GCCCCCGCCCCUGCCGUCUCGGGGAUUGGCAGCCCGCCCCGCGGCCCGCCUCCUGCCUAGCCUCGUCUGCUAUGUUUCCAUGGGCUGUGGACCCUUCUCUCCCGCGGAGGGCGCAGCCGCGGCUACUUGGUAGCGGGUUCGGGGCCCGGCCGCGCCUGCGGCGGCGAGAGCCAUCCUGGACCGACCUCGGGCCUGCGGAGGUUGUGUGCGGCGUCUGCGGGGUGCAGCGGCCUCAGUUCUGAGCGCAGCUUUGUAGGUACGUGAUUUAAGCAGAGUGGAAGCUGCAGAGCUGAGUGUGACAAAGGAGAGAGCAUGGAGCUGGAAGUUUAUUAGGAGGAAUCUAGCAAACUGUUACCUCAGAAGGAGAGACUCAACAUGGAAGCAUUUCUACUUUAUUUCUUCACGGAUGAAGCUACAAUCGCUCAGUAUUGGUAUUGUUGCAAGCUAGAUACACCACAACUACAGCACGCGGGACUGAAGUCAGAGCCCUGUGGCAGUGACCCUGAGAAGACUGGUUUCAUUAGUUAUACCAUUACUUUUUCUUUUUUAAAGCCUCCCAGAAAUUCAAGUUUACAUUUCAUGGAACAUGAGCCAAAACUAAUUGAGGUUGUUUAUGGAAAAAUCAUCUCAUUUUAAUGGUCUGUACCUCUGGGACACUGCUGGCCAAAGCUGUAUGGCCCACAAGGCAAAAAUUAUGAUAAUUAGACUGUUUUUCCUAUUGUCUUAUUUCCAUGACUGAAUUUUUAUGUGAACUUUGGAUGGUGUUUUGUACUGUGUAAUGAAAUUUAUUACAAGUAUAUGUACAUGACAUUCCAGUAAACCAUAAAUUGAUUUCUUACUAGUUUUGAUAAUCUGUGUUUUAUUAUGAGGUAUUUGCUAAUCCUCCAAAUUUUAGCCACAUGCUCAUGUCUCUCAUGAUUUCAAUCUAAAUAAAUUUUAGCUUCAUUGCUAUACCUCUGAAAUGUUUUAAAUUGACUAACGAAUAGAUAAGAUCUACCCAUAAGGCACUUAUAAAAACUGUGGAGUUGGUGUGGUGAGUGCUGACUCCAGCUGUAUUGUGAUCUUAAGCUUUCCAUCUGUGUUAGUUACCUGAGG
rnacentral:lncRNA from 1 species